rnacentral:rRNA from 1 species
UACAGAGGUCUCAAGCGUUGUUCGGAUUCAUUGGGCGUAAAGGGCGCGUAGGCUGCGGGGCAAGUCGGGUGUGAAAUCUCCGGGCUCAACCCGGAAAUGGCAUUGGAUACUAUUUGACUAGAGGGUUGGAGGGGGGACUGGAAUACUUGGUGUAGCAGUGAAAUGCGUAGAUAUCCGGAGGAACACCAGUGGCGAAGGCGACUUUCUGGCCUGUUCUUGACGCUGAGGCGCGAAAGCUAGGGGAGCAAACGGG